rnacentral:miRNA from 1 species
UGAAAGACACAUUCCAUGGGCAG